rnacentral:lncRNA from 12 species
UGGGUUUCUACAUUGAUGUGAGAUAAAAAAAGCAUCAAGAAGGUAAAUGAAAUGGGCAGAAAGAGUAAGAAAAAUUGGAAACACUUAACUGUGGUUAGCUUGGUCUGCCUGGAGAUAACAGAGUGUAUGGCUUACAGUGGGAACCUUGACCUAACCAAGCUACGACCUCUUUCUUCAUAACAAAAUAAUUACCUCCAUGUGUAUUAAAGUAUACAAAUUAUGUACUGAAAGAGGAUGGAGGCUAUUCCUAUCAACAAAUCAAAUUACCGAGGUACUUUUAGAAAAUUGAUGCCAGAGAAGUUUUGAAUAAAUACAUUAUAAAAUUCCCA